rnacentral:tRNA from 1 species
CUUUUAAAGGAUAGAAGCCU